UGCAGAUUGUUCACAUUUGUUUAUCAACAAUAAAAUAACUGUAACAUUUUAACAAAGUUGUUCAGUUUGAUAGUCAAUACUAGCAAAGUUGCAUUGUCGUCAAUCAAUUUAGUUUAAAAGUUGCAUUGCUUGCUAGCCAAAUAUGUGGCAGACUGGCACCAAACACCAUCAAUAGUUUUUCCAUGUAAUUUGAAUAUACUCCAUAGUGUAGAAAUAUUCACAAAUGCCCUCCAUACAGUGAUGAAAAGAAAUCAAGGUCAAAAUUUAUAGGCGACAGGUAGGUGGCGUGGCCAUGGCCGUGGAGUCAUGGUUUUUACUCGGUUUUCUGUGAUAAACCGAGUCUUGUGUGGGUUUUUUAGGUCUGGUUUCCCUCGUAAGAAUGGAUCAGUUCUUUUCUUUUGUAUGCAGUUGUGGGAGGUCCUGACAAGGCUUCGGAAAAAGAAUGGUAAGAUUUGGAACCUCAAGCUCAAAUUCCCAUGCCAAAUACCCAAAUCAUGGACCGUCAAACCUUUACUAAUUCCAUCCAACAGAACAGUCCCAUAUGGUACUCCACUAUACUAAUACCGGAUUCGGGGCAGUCGGAGGAAGUCUUUAUAAAAGGAGAUACCUUAUAAGAGCAUGCCGUCAGUGGCGGAGACAGGGGGNN
rnacentral:lncRNA from 1 species